rnacentral:rRNA from 1 species
GAUGAACGCUGGCGGCGUGCCUAAUACAUGCAAGUCGAGCGAACACACGAUGAGCUUACUACUCGCGCGUUAGCGGCGGAUGUGUCAGUAACACGUCGAUAACCUAGCUUAACUACUCGGAUGAGCUCCGGAAACCGCAUCCAAUCCCGGAUAAUAUACUGAACCUCAUGGUUCCUUAGUGGAAGACGGCUUUGCUUUCACUUAUAGAUGGAUCCGCGCCGCAGUAGCUAGUUGGUAAGGUAACGGCUUACCAAGGCAACGAUGCGUAGCCGACCUGAGAGGGUGAUCGGCCACACUGGAACUGAGACACGGUCCAGACUCCUACGGGAGGCAGCAGUAGGGAAUCUUCCGCAAUGGGCGAAAGCCUGACGGAGCAACGCCGCGUGAGUGAUGAAGGUCUUCGGAUCGUAAAACUCUGUUAUUAGGGAAGAACAAAUGUGUAAGUAACUAUGCACGUCUUGACGGUACCUAAUCAGAAAGCCACGGCUAACUACGUG